rnacentral:tRNA from 1 species
GUCCCCGUAGCUCAGGUGGAUAGAGCAUCUGCCUUCUAAGCAGAGGGUCGUGCGUUCGAAUCGCGCCGGGGACGCCA